rnacentral:rRNA from 1 species
UACGGGGGGGGCAAGCGUUGUUCGGAAUUACUGGGCGUAAAGGGCUCGUAGGCGGCCAACUAAGUCGGACGUGAAAUCCCCAGGCUCAACCUGGGAACUGCGUCCGAUACUGGAUGGCUUGAAUCCGGGAGAGGGAUGCAGAAUUCCAGGUGUAGCGGUGAAAUGCGUAGAUAUGUGGAGGAACACCGAUGGCGAAGGCAGCCCCCUGGGCUAACACUGACGCUCAUGCACGAAAGCGUGGGGAGCAAACAGG